CAGAAGGAAGAGGCUUAAAGGAAGUGGUGUUGUUAUUGUUGGAAGAAGAGAGAGAGAGGAGAGGGUAGUGACCGAGGGUUCUGAUAAUCUGAAAGAAGAUCUGAAAGAAGAAGGCCAGCCAGCUCAGCAGCGCUCUCCACACUUGCUGAGUCCGGUGCUGAGGCGCCGCCGAGUACACUUCCGCCGCCUGAGUCAACUCUCCCAUAACCACAACUACUACGACCGAGUCGUUUUAAUCUGGGAGAUGUGGUCAUGGUGGUGCUUUCGACGAGGUCUAGAGAGAGAAAGAGAAAGAGCGAUUAAAAGGAGGCUCAUUGGGUUUUCUUUCCCCUACGCGCAGUGGUGGCGCGUUUGAGAGAAAUGUUUACGUCUUACUGCUGCUAUUUAAAGUAGUUCAUUCAUUUGGUAAUUCGAUCCAAUCCUUUCAUUUGCAUACAAGGUACGGUAAUAAUUCUCUUUUAAUCGUAGAAGAUUCCAGUUGAAAAUUGAAAUAAUGAAAUUUUGAAUUAGUCAAAAUAUAUAUAUGAGAUAUUUUGACUUCUAUUAAAAUUAUUUUAGAUUAAUAUUAUCUUUUUAUUAAAAAAAAUUGUAUAACAAAAAAUUAGUAUUGUAAAGCUUUUAUUUAUGAUUUGUAGGUUUUAAACCUUUAAAAAAAAUUUUAAAUAAGAGUAACUAUGAUUACCACUAUCAUCAUCUUUUUUAUUAUUAUUAUUAUUAUUAUUUUAUUUUUAUUAUUUUAUUUAUCCAAUCAUAUCUUGAUAUCAUCAUUAUUUUUUGGGAAAAACUAUGCUUUACAAAUUCAUUAAACAAUAAAAUUAAAUUACGCGCUGCUUCACGUACGACGCGCUACAUCCCUUCUUCUUCUCCUUCUUUUUCGAUCGUUCUUUUCUCCUCCUUUCUCAUUGGUUUGUUCUUCAUCGUUGACGUUAGUUCCUCCACAUACUGUUACAGCACGUUUUUAUUGCACCUUCUUCUUCUUCUUGCUGCACAGUCUUCUUCCUCUUCCUCUUCUUCUUCUUGCUGCACGUUCUUCUUCCCCUUCCUCUUCUUCUUCUUCUUUUCUUUUGUUUCUUGCCUUCUCUUUCUCCUUCUUCAUUUACGUGCUUUUCUCUCUGUUUUCUUUCUUCGUUAUUCUCGAUUUCUAUUAUUUUUUGACAUCAAGCUCUGAAAUCGUUUUUGAAGAAGAAGAAGUAGUAGAAGAUGAGGAGGAGAAAGAGAAAGAGUUCUGAAUUAUGCAUGAUUUUGGGUGUAUUUCUUUAAAUCUUUUGGGUGUAUUUUCUGUAAUCUUUUGGGUGUAUUUUCUAUAAUCGUUUGGGUGAAUUUCUGUAACCGUUUGGGUGUAUUUCUGUAAUCUCUUGGGUGUAUUUUAUGUAAUCGUUUGGGUGUAUUUCUGUAAUGCUUGUCAUUUUUUCUGAAAUGAAAAAUACACCCAUAGAUAUCAGUAAGAUACACCCAUAUAUAUGAGUCAAAUACACCCAUAGAUAUCAGUCAGAUAUCACUCAAAUACACCCAAAGGGUUACAGAAAAUACACCCAAAGGAUUUAAGAAAAUACACCCAAAAUUCGUUGAAGUACAUCUUAUGCAUAAUUCAGAACUCUUUCUCUUUCUCCUCCUCAUCUUCUGCUGCAUCUUCUUCUUCAAAAACGAUUUUACCAUGAAAAUUCAAAAAAAACGAGAAAACAGAGAGAAAAAGACGUAAAUGAAGAAGAAGAAGAGGAAAACGAGGAAGAAGAACGUGCAGAAACGAAAGAAAAGGAGAAGAAGAAGAGUAAGAGGAAGAAGAACGUGCAGUAAGAAGAAUAAGAAGAAUUUCAGAAACCAUGAAAAUCGAAAAAAAAACGAAGAAGAAGAAGAAGAGAAAGAGGAAGAGGAAGAGGAAGAGGAAGAGGAAGAGGAAGAAGAAGAAGACGACGACGAAGGCGAAGAAGAAGAAGAGAAGAAGAAGAAGAAGAAGACGAAGAGGAACCGUUUGAGUGGGGCGCGUGUAGUUACGCUCCAUUCAAAAUGAGUUAAUGCGCGUGUUAAUGAAGUUUGGGUUGAUAACUUGUAAAACUUGUACCGCCUUUUACUUGUAUGUGUAGCAGGGCCCUUAUUUUUUUUACUAUCAUUAACAUUAACAAUCAUAGUCACUAUCCUUUUCUCUUAUUUUUUGUGCCAUACUAUUUUUUCUUUUAAAAAAUUUUUUGUAUUGUAAUUAAUUUUUCUUCUUAUGAUA